GAUGAAUGCUGGCGGCGUGCUUAACACAUGCAAGUCGAGCGGCAGCGCGAAGAGUUUACUCUUUGGCGGCGAGCGGCGGACGGCUGAGUAACGCGUGGGAACAUGCCCUAAAGUGAGGAAUAACUGCCCGAAAGGGUGGCUAAUGCCGCAUAUGAUCUUCGGAUUAAAGGAUUUAUCCGCUUUAGGAGUGGCCUGCGUAUGAUUAGGUAGUUGGUGAGGUAAUGGCUCACCAAGCCGACGAUCAUUAGCUGGUCUGAGAGGAUGACCAGCCAGACUGGAACUGAGACACGGUCCAGACUCCUACGGGAGGCAGCAGUGAGGAAUAUUCCACAAUGGGCGAAAGCCUGAUGGAGCAACGCCGCGUGAAGGAUGAAGGCCCUCGGGUCGUAAACUUCUUUUAUAAGUGAAGAAUAUGACGGUAACUUAUGAAUAAGCACCGGCUAACUACGUGCCAGCCGCCGCGGUAA
rnacentral:rRNA from 1 species